AUUAAUAGCACAGGUUUCAAAAUCUUUGCCUAUACCUUCACUCCCUGCACUUCAGUGUUUUCUGAUGGAAAUGUUGCAGGAUUUUCAGUUCUCCAAGCUUACUUCAAUUUAGGUUUUUUUUUUUUCUUUCUUUCUCUCUGGAGCCAUGACUGAAACAUUUCAGCUGGAGAUCCUGAUGACUGUAUCUGGGUUCAGUUGCUGUAUGCUUUAAAUUCUUCAGCUCCUGAGGGUACUAGAAGAGGCACCCAGCCUUUAAGCAGACUGUUUUAGUAGAGAAGCAAGUGCUGCUGUUUUACAUUUUGGUGGUGAACAUUGAAAUGACAGUGUCCAAUCUGUCCACAAAGCAGCCAUAGUCCACAGGACGGAGCAUCAACACUGCAGUAAUGAGGAAGUUUUCAAAGAAGCUGAGGUGAUCUGAAGCUCAAUGAAAAAGCGUUAGUCAUACAUGAAAUGUUUUCUACCUGGAAACUUCAGAAUCAACAGGUUCUCCAAGAGAAGACACUGUACAUGGUAGGAUUUCAGAGGACAGCCUGAGCUCCCAGCCUCUAUAGGGAUCACCAACAUACAAAUCAGGUACAACACACUUCAGCGUGACACAGAACAGCUCAAUGCACUCUACUGCAAGCUAAAUAAGGAAACAGAAAUGACCCAUAAUUUCAUGCAAUGUGCCAUUGGUGGGAAGGAAAUUGGUUUUGGUAGUAGGCUUCAGAAUAAACUGGAUGCAGAAUGAUAUUUAAGAUCUUAUCUAUCAAGUCAUGGCUGCAGAGACAAGAAAAGCAUAGGCACUGCACGAGGGCUCUAUCACAGCCCAGCAGCUUUCCCUGGCUUACCCUGCUGAAGGAUGACCUUGCUCCAGGUCUCCUGCCUUCCCUGGGGUCUGCAUCUGCCAUCACAUUUCCCACAACCAUUCAUUCCCAAGAGAAGGAUAUGAGAUAUCAUAGCAAAGCUGCUGAAGCCUCUGAAAAACAGACACUGUACCAAAAGUUAAUGUGAUGUACUAAUGACUGUUUAAUACUAUCUAACAGAAAAUUGAGGUGAAACAGUCUGAUGAGGAAAGUACUUCUAUCUGCAUGGACAGAAAGAAAAGCAAUGCAAAUAUGAAAAGUAACAAGUGAACCUGGCUUACAUUUUGAUACUGCAUGCAAAUGUACGUAAGAACUUAAUUAAAUUAUUUGAACUGAGCAAAUAAUGUGAAGCAAAUAGCCAAUUUAAAUAUAGCCUUUUUCAUUUCAUAAAUUGCUCACAAGCUGCUUAAAAAUGUACUUAUAUUAUUUGCAAAUUAUAUAUUAGCAAAGAAUUCUACACUUCUCUCAUAAAGUAAUGCAGCUAAAACUACCAAUGUUUGAAAUAUCAGCUCUAUGGGAUGGCUGAGGCAGAUAUUUAAUAAACAACUCCUUAUAUGC
rnacentral:lncRNA from 1 species